AUAAGUUUGCGAAUAUUCCAUCACUAUUGGGGUUGAUACAGAGAAGAUUAGCAUGGCCCUCGCGCAGAGAUGACACGCAGAAUCGUGAAGCAUUUCCAAAUUUA